CUGAUUUUUGAUAGAAAUGAGACACUUUUACAAAAUCCUCUACCAUAGCCCACGAGUCGGAGAGAAGAUAUGGAUAUUGAGAUUGGGAUUGAGUAUUAAUAUAAUAUAUGGGUUGUGAAUCCCCAUGGGUCCUACAUAGAAGCAUAAAUGCUCAGUGAUAUAUAUGAAGGUUAUGCGAUAACCUCAGACACAUCACAUCUUUAUCAUUAUCAUCC
rnacentral:lncRNA from 1 species